rnacentral:tRNA from 1 species
UGGUAAGUAGUUUAAACAAAACAAAUGAUUUCGACUCAUUAGAUUAUGACGACCAUACUAACCAA